CCUCUCGGCGACGACGACAUGGUCUCCUACAUCUCGCAGGGCUUGUUUACGACUACAUGUCGUUUGUCUCCUCGAUCUGUGCCAGAACCGAUCCCAUCAAGGUCAGCGAGCUCUACUCCCAGCUUAUCAGCUUCGAAA
rfam:Triticum aestivum genome assembly, contig: Triticum_aestivum_CS42_TGACv1_scaffold_457507_5DS